AUGAGGGCCCCUGUGCAGCUCCUCAGCUUCCUGCUGCUCUGGCUCCCGGGUGCCAGGUGUGAUAUCCAGAUGGUCCAGCCUUCAUCCGUGCCUGCAUCUCUGGGAGAGAAAGUCACCAUCACCUGCAAGGCCAGUCAGAGCGUUUACGACGGUUUAGCCUGGUAUCAGCAGAAACCGGGGAAAGCGCCCAGGCUCCUGAUCAAGUAUGCAACCAAUUUAGGACCUGAUGUUCCUUCCCGGUUCAGUGGCAGUGGAUAUGGGACAGAUUUCACUCUCACCAUCAGCAGCCUGGAGCCUGAAGAUGCUGCCACUUACUACUGUCAGCAGCAUUAUAGUUACCCUCCCACAGUGAUACACAACAGAACAUAA